GGCUAUGUGUGCAUUGUUACCCCAGAGCAGUAUAUUCUGUAUAGCAGACUGGCUAUGUGUGCAUUGUUACCCAGAGCAGUAUAUUCUGUAUAGCAGGCUGUCUAUGUGUGCAUUGUUACCCCAGAGCAGUAUAUUCUGUAUACCAGGCUGGCUAUGUGUGCAUUGUUACCCAGAGCAGUAUAUUCUGUAUAACAAGCUGUCUAUGUGUGCAUUGCAACCCAGAGCAGUAUAUUCU